rfam:Ciona savignyi cont_21680, whole genome shotgun sequence.
GCCUCGAUAGCUCAGUAGGCAGCGGGUGAGUCUCACAAUCUCAAGGUCGUGAGUUCGAUCCUCACUCGGGGCA